rnacentral:rRNA from 1 species
UCCAGACUCCUACGGGAGGCAGCAGUGGGGAAUAUUGGGCAAUGGGCGCAAGCCUGACCCAGCAAUGCCGCGUGAAGGAAGAAGGCUUUCGGGUUGUAAACUUCUUUGACAGGGGAAGAGCAGAAGACGGUACCCUGAAAACAAGCCACGGCUAACUACGUGCCAGCAGCCGCGGUAAUACGUAGGUGGCAAGCGUUGUCCGGAUUUACUGGGUGUAGAGGGCGUGUAGCCGGGAAGGCAAGUCAGAUGUGAAAUCCGGAGGCUCAACCUCCGAAUUGCAUUUGAAACUGUUUUUCUUGAGUACUGGAGAGGCAGACGGAAUUCCGUGUGUAGCGGUGAAAUGCGUAGAUAUACGGAGGAACACCAGUGGCGAAGGCGGCCUGCUGGACAUUAACUGACGCUGAGGCGCGAAAGCGUGGGGAGCAAACAGGAUUAGAUACCCCAGUA